GGAACACGAUUUAGACAGGUUCGGGCCGCUAGAUCGCGUAAUACCCUACGUCCUGUGUGUUGGUUUGUAUUUGAUGAACUGGAGUUGUCCUCGUGUGUUCAGGUCUGUCCCGGUUUCGAUUUGGUCUUGAGAGGGGUCCCUGCCCGCCCUUAUAUACACAGGAGGGCAGGGUUACAAGUCUGAGUCCUAGUCGGGUACUAUUACACAGUUCUACUCGGUAAUGGCCCGAGUAGUUUUCUAUAAACAUACUUGACUAGUCCG
rnacentral:lncRNA from 1 species